rnacentral:rRNA from 1 species
CUUGCUUCUCUUGAGAGCGGCGGACGGGUGAGUAAUGCCUAGGAAUCUGCCUGGUAGUGGGGGAUAACGUUCGGAAACGGACGCUAAUACCGCAUACGUCCUACGGGAGAAAGCAGGGGACCUUCGGGCCUUGCGCUAUCAGAUGAGCCUAGGUCGGAUUAGCUAGUUGGUGGGGUAAUGGCUCACCAAGGCGACGAUCCGUAACUGGUCUGAGAGGAUGAUCAGUCACACUGGAACUGAGACACGGUCCAGACUCCUACGGGAGGCAGCAGUGGGGAAUAUUGGACAAUGGGCGAAAGCCUGAUCCAGCCAUGCCGCGUGUGUGAAGAAGGUCUUCGGAUUGUAAAGCACUUUAAGUUGGGAGGAAGGGUUGUAGAUUAAUACUCUGCAAUUUUGACGUUACCGACAGAAUAAGCACCGGCUAACUCUGUGCCAGCAGCCGCGGUAAUACAGAGGGUGCAAGCGUUAAUCGGAAUUACUGGGCGUAAAGCGCGCGUAGGUGGUUUGUUAAGUUGGAUGUGAAAUCCCCGGGCUCAACCUGGGAACUGCAUUCAAAACUGACUGACUAGAGUAUGGUAGAGGGCGGUGGAAUUUCCUGUGUAGCGGUGAAAUGCGUAGAUAUAGGAAGGAACACCAGUGGCGAAGGCGACCACCUGGACUAAUACUGACACUGAGGUGCGAAAGCGUGGGGAGCAAAC